rnacentral:rRNA from 1 species
UGAUCCUGGCUCAGGAUGAACGCUAGCGGCGCGCUUAAUGCAUGCAAGUCGAGCGAUGAGACUCCUACGGGAGCACAUCAGCGGCAGACGGGUGAGUAACACGUAGAUGACGUACCCUCAAGACGGGGAUAACGGAUGGAAACAUGCGCUAAUACCGGAUGACCUUACGAUGUCAGAAUGGUAAGGAAAGCUACGGCGCUUGAGGAGCGGUCUGCGGCCCAUCAGCUAGUUGGUAGGGUAAAGGCCUACCAAGGCGAAGACGGGUAGGGGGUGUGAGAGCACGGNCCCCCACAAUGGGACUGAGACACGGCCCAUACUCCUACGGGAGGCAGCAGCAGGGAAUAUUGCACAAUGGACGGAAGUCUGAUGCAGCGACGCCGCGUGAGUGAAGAAGGCCUUCGGGUUGUAAAACUCUUUUGAGGGGGAAGAGCGAGGACGGUACCCCUGGAAUAAGCGUCGGCUAACUACGUGCCAGCAGCCGCGGUAAGACGUAGGACGCGAGCGUUAUCCGGAUUUACUGGGCGUAAAGCGUCUGUAGGCGGAUGUGUAAGUUGGGCGUGAAAGCUCCGGGCUUAACCCGGAGAGGCCGUUCAAUACUGCAUAACUUGAGGGUGUCAGAGGGGAGCGGAAUUCCCGGUGUAGCGGUAAAAUGCGCAGAGAUCGGGAGGAACACCAGUGGCGGAGGCGGUUCCCUGGGGCACACCUGACGCUGAGAGACGAAAGCUAGGGGAGCGAACAGGAUUAGAGACCCUGGUAGUCCUAGCCCUAAACGAUGAAUGCUAGGUGUGGGAUCGAAUGGUUCCGUGCCGGAGCGAACGCGAUAAGCAUUCCGCCUGGGGAGUACGGCCGCAAGGUUAAAACUCAAACGAAUUGACGGGGCCCCGGCACAAGCAGCGGAGCGUGUGGUUUAAUUCGAUGCUACACGAAGAACCUUACCUGGGUUUGACAUGUAGGUGGUACUGAAAUCGAAAGGCGAACGACCCUUCGGGGAGCCUACACAGGUGCUGCAUGGCUGUCGUCAGCUCGUGCCGUGAGUUGUCGGGUUAAGUCCCGUAACGAGCGCAACCCUUGCUCCUAGUUACAAGUGUCUUAGGGGGACUGCCGGCGGAAAGCCGGAGGAAGGUGGGGAUGACGUCAAGUCAGCAUGGCCCUUAUAUCCAGGGCUACACACACGCUACAAUGGUCGGUACAAAA